AACGAACGCUGGCGGCAUGCCUAACACAUGCAAGUCGAACGAAGGCUUCGGCCUUACUGGCGCACGGGUGCGUAACGCGUGGGAAUCUGCCCUUUGGUUCGGAAUAACAGCUGGAAACGGCUGCUAAUACCGGAUGAUGACGAAAGUCCAAAGAUUUGUCGUCAGAGGGUGAGCCGGCGUUGGAUUAGGUAGUUGGUGGGGUAAAGGCCUACCAAGCCGACGCUCCAUAGCUGGUCUGAGAGGAAGAGCAGCGACACUGGGACUGGGACACGGCCCAGACUCCUACGGGAGGCGGGAGAGGGGGAUAUUGGACAAUGGGGUGAAGGCUGAAGCAGCAAUGCCGGGAGAGUGAUGAAGGCCGUAAGGUUGUAAAGCUCUUUUACCCGGGAAGAUAAUGACGGUACCGGGAGAAUAAGCCCCGGCUAACUCCGUG
rnacentral:rRNA from 1 species